GUGCUCACGUUGGCAGCACAUAUACUGAAAUAGGAACUAUAUAGAGAUAGAGAAGAUGAGUGUGGACCCUAUGCAAGGAUGACAUGCACAUUUCUGGAGUGUUCCUUAAAAAA
rnacentral:snRNA from 1 species